rnacentral:rRNA from 1 species
AGCGAACGCUGGCGGCAGGCCAAACACAUGCAAGUCGAACGAACCUUUCGGGGUUAGUGGCGGACGGGUGAGUAACACGUGGGAACGUGCCUUUAGGUUCGGAAUAACUCAGGGAAACUUGUGCUAAUACCGAAUGUGCCCUUCGGGGGAAAGAUUUAUCGCCUUUAGAGCGGCCCGCGUCUGAUUAGCUAGUUGGUUGAGGUAAUGGCUCACCAAGGCGACGAUCAGUAGCUGGUCUGAGAGGAUGAUCAGCCACAUUGGGACUGAGACACGGCCCAAACUCCUACGGGAGGCAGCAGUGGGGAAUCUUGCGCAAUGGGCGAAAGCCUGACGCAGCCAUGCCGCGUGAAUGAUGAAGGUCUUAGGAUUGUAAAAUUCUUUCACCGGGGACGAUAAUGACGGUACCCGGAGAAGAAGCCCCGGCUAACUUCGUG